UACGUAGGCAGCAAGCGUUGUUCGGAGUUACUGGGCGUAAAGGGUGUGUAGGCGGUUCCUUAAGUUUGCUGUGAAAUCUCCCGGCUUAACCGGGAGGGUGCGGUGAAUACUGAGGGACUAGAGUACGGGAGAGGAAAGUGGAAUUCCUGGUGUAGCGGCGAAAUGCGUAGAUAUCAGGAGGAACACCGGUGGUGUAGACGGCUUUCUGGACCGUAACUGACGCUGAGACACGAAAGCGUGGGUAGCAAACAGG
rnacentral:rRNA from 1 species